rnacentral:rRNA from 1 species
AGCUAGUUGGUAGGGUAAAGGCUUACCAAGGCAAUGAUGCGUAGCCGAAUUGAGAGGUUGAUCGGCCACAUUGGGACUGAGACACGGCCCAAACUCCUACGGGAGGCAGCAGUAGGGAAUCUUCCACAAUGGGCGAAAGCCUGAUGGAGCAACGCCGCGUGGGUGAAGAAGGUCUUCGGAUCGUAAAACCCUGUUGUUAGAGAAGAAAGUGCGUGAGAGUAACUGUUCACGUUUCGACGGUAUCUAACCAGAAAGCCACGGCUAACUACGUGCCAGCAGCCGCGGUAAUACGUAGGUGGCAAGCGUUAUCCGGAUUUAUUGGGCGUAAAGGGAACGCAGGCGGUCUUUUAAGUCUGAUGUGAAAGCCUUCGGCUUAACCGGAGUAGUGCAUUGGAAACUGGGAGACUUGAGUGCAGAAGAGGAGAGUGGAACUCCAUGUGUAGCGGUGAAAUGCGUAGAUAUAUGGAAGAACACCAGUGGCGAAAGCGGCUCUCUGGUCUGUAACUGACGCUGAGGUUCGAAAGCGUGGGUAGCAAACAGGAUUAGAUACCCUGGUAGUCCACGCCGUAAACGAUGAAUGCUAAGUGUUGGAGGGUUUCCGCCCUUCA